rnacentral:rRNA from 1 species
CGGGUGAGUACACGUGGGUAACUACCUAUUAGAUUGGAAUAACUCCGGAAACCGGGGCAAUGCCGGAUAACACUUAGAACCGCAUGGUUGUAAAGUGAAAGAUGGUUUUGCUAUCACUUAUAGAUGGACCCGCGCCGUAUUAGCUAGUUGGUAAGGUAAUGGCUUACCAAGGCAACGAUACGUAGCCGACCUGAGAGGGUGAUCGGCCACACUGGAACUGAGACACGGUCCAGACUCCUACGGGAGGCAGCAGUAGGGAAUCUUCCGCAAUGGGCGAAAGCCUGACGGAGCAACGCCGCGUGAGUGAUGAAGGGUUUCGGCUCGUAAAACUCUGUUAUUAGGGAAGAACAAACGUGUAAGUAACUGUGCACGUCUUGACGGUACCUAAUCAGAAAGCCACGGCUAACUACGUGCCAGCAGCCGCGGUAAUACGUAGGUGGCAAGCGUUAUCCGGAAUUAUUGGGCGUAAAGCGCGCGUAGGCGGUUUCUUAAGUCUGAUGUGAAAGCCCACGGCUCAACCGUGGAGGGUCAUUGGAAACUGGGAGACUUGAGUGCAGAAGAGGAAAGUGGAAUUCCAUGUGUAGCGGUGAAAUGCGCAGAGAUAUGGAGGAACACCAGUGGCGAAGGCGACUUUCUGGUCUGUAACUGACGCUGAUGUGCGAAAGCGUGGGGAUCAAACAGGAUUAGAUACCCUGGUAGUCCACGCCGUAAACGAUGAGUGCUAAGUGUUAGGGGGUUUCCGCCCCUUUAGUGCUGCAGCUAACGCAUUAAGCACUCCGCCUGGGGAGUACGACCGCAAGGUUGAAACUCAAAGGAAUUGACGGGGACCCGCACAAGCGGUGGAGCAUGUGGUUUAAUUCGAAGCAACGCGAAGAACCUUACCAAAUCUUGACAUCCUUUGACCACUCUAGAGAUAGAGUUUUCCCCUUCGGGGGACAAAGUGACAGGUGGUGCAUGGUUGUCGUCAGCUCGUGUCGUGAGAUGUUGGGUUAAGUCCCGCAACGAGCGCAACCCUUAAACUUAGUUGCCAGCAUUUAGUUGGGCACUCUAGGUUGACUGCCGGUGACAAACCGGAGGAAGGUGGGGAUGACGUCAAAUCAUCAUGCCCCUUAUGAUUUGAGCUACACACGUGCUACAAUGUACAAUACACAGGUCAACUAAACCGCGAGGUCAUGCAAAUCCCAUAAAGUUGUUCUCAGUUCAGAUUGUAAUCGGCAACUCUACUACAUGAAGCUGGAAUCGCUACUGAUGGUAAAUC